AGUGAACGCUGGCGGUAGGCCUAACACAUGCAAGUCGAACGGCAGCACAGUAAGAUCUUGCUCUUACGGGUGGCGAGUGGCGGACGUGUGAGGAAUACAUCGGAAUCUACUUUUUCGUGGGGGAUAACGUAGGGAAACUUACGCUAAUACCGCAUACGACCUACGGGUGAAAGCAGUGGAUCUUCGGACCUUUCGCGAUUGAAUGAGCCGAUGUCGGAUUAGCUAGUUGGCGGGGUAAAGGCCCACCAAGGCGACGAUCCGUAGCUGGUCUGAGAGGAUGAUCAGCCACACUGGAACUGAGACACGGUCCAGACUCCUACGGGAGGCAGCAGUGGGGAAUAUUGGACAAUGGGCGCGAGCCUGAUCCAGCCAUACCGCGUGGGUGAAGAAGGCCUUCGGGUUGUAAAGACCUUUUGUUGGGAAAGAAAAGCAGCAGGUUAAUACCCCGCUGUUCUGACGGUACCCAAAGAAUAAGCACCGGCUAACUUCGUG
rnacentral:rRNA from 1 species